rnacentral:pre_miRNA from 1 species
UGGCUCUAUGAAGGUGUGCAUGUGCAUGUGUGUAUGUGCAUGCAUAGUCUUGCCUGCACAUAGCAA